UACGAAGGGGGCUAGCGUUGCUCGGAAUCCCUGGGCGUAAAGCGCACGUAGGCGGAUCUUUAAGUCGGGGGUGAAAUCCUGGAGCUCAACUCCAGAACUGCCUUCGAUACUGGGGAUCUUGAGUCCGAGAGAGGUGAGUGGAACUCCGAGUGUAGAGGUGAAAUUCGUAGAUAUUCGGAAGAACACCAGUGGCGAAGGCGGCUCACUGGCUCGGUACUGACGCUGAGGUGCGAAAGCGUGGGGAGCGAACAGG
rnacentral:rRNA from 1 species